GUGUGAAUCCCAGGGCGCUUCUCCUUUGGCACGGAGGCAUGCAUGUACUGAUGGUAGGAGUUGGCCAGGUGAAGAAGCUCCAGGCCGAUCAGUGCGUGCAGCUAGCCAGCCGCGUCGUGCGUGCCAAAGGAGAAUUGCCCUGCGAUUCACCU
rfam:Triticum urartu cultivar G1812 contig696793, whole genome shotgun sequence.